rnacentral:rRNA from 1 species
GUGGGGAAUCUUGCGCAAUGGGCGAAAGCCUGACGCAGCCAUGCCGCGUGAAUGAUGAAGGUCUUAGGAUUGUAAAAUUCUUUCACCGGGGACGAUAAUGACGGUACCCGGAGAAGAAGCCCCGGCUAACUUCGUGCCAGCAGCCGCGGUAAUACGAAGGGGGCUAGCGUUGCUCGGAAUUACUGGGCGUAAAGGGAGCGUAGGCGGAUAGUUUAGUCAGAGGUGAAAGCCCAGGGCGCAACCUUGGAAUUGCCUUUGAUACUGGCUAGCUUGAGUAUGGAAGAGGUAUGUGGAACUCCGGGUGUAGAGGUGAAAUUCGUAGAUAUUCGGAAGAACACCAGUGGCGAAGGCGACAUACUGGUCCAUUACUGACGCUGAGGCUCGAAAGCGUGGGGAGCAAACAGGAUUAGAAACCCUGGUAGUCC